UACGUAGGAUGCAAGCGUUGUCCGGAAUUAUUGGGCGUAAAGAGAACGUAGGUGGCUUGUUAAGUUUGGUCUUAAAGACCGGGGCUCAACCCCGGGAAUGGACUGAAAACUGGCAGGCUAGAGGAUGUCAGAGGAUGGUGGAAUUCCCAGUGUAGCGGUGAAAUGCGUAGAUAUUGGGAGGAACACCUGUGGCGAAAGCGGCCAUCUGGGGCAUUCCUGACACUGAGGUUCGAAAGCUCGGGGAGCAAACAGG
rnacentral:rRNA from 2 species